ACCAGAAUGGCUGAGUGGUUAAGGCAUUGGACUUAAGAUCCAAUGGACAUGUGUCUGCGUGGGUUCGAGCGCCACUUCUGGUA
rnacentral:tRNA from 1 species